CCUUUUUUAGGGGGAGAAGCCCUAAUUCCUACAUGACCAUUUUCAGGUGUCGCUGCAUUGGACAGAGGAUAGGGAAUCCUCCAUAUCAUGCAUUCUGUCUGCCCCUUUUGGCCUGUCCCAGGGAAGAUCAAGAGAAGAGCAAAAUAACGAGAAUACAUUCUUUAGAAGAGGCUAGGAAGAGGUGAG